GACGAACGCUGGCGGCGUGCCUAAUACAUGCAAGUAGAACGCUGAAGAGAGGAGCUUGCUCUUCUUGGAUGAGUUGCGAACGGGUGAGUAACGCGUAGGUAACCUGCCUGGUAGCGGGGGAUAACUAUUGGAAACGAUAGCUAAUACCGCAUAAAAUUGAUUAUUGCAUGAUAAUUAAUUGAAAGAUGCAACUGCAUCACUACCAGAUGGAUCUGCGUUGUAUUAGCUAGUUGGUGAGGUAACGGCUCACCAAGGCGACGAUACAUAGCAGACCUGAGAGGGUGAUCGGCCACCCUGGGACUGAGACACGGCCCAGACGCCUACGGGAGGCAGCAGUAGGGAAUCUUCGGCAAGGGGGGGAACCCUGACCGAGCAACGCCGCGUGAGUGAAGAAGGUUUUCGGAUCGUAAAGCUCUGUUGUAAGAGAAGAACGGGUGUGAGAGUGGAAAGUUCACACUGUGACGGUAUCUGACCAGAAAGGGCCGGCUAACUACGUG
rnacentral:rRNA from 1 species